GCCGGUGUAGCUCAGUUGGUAGAGCAGCGCAUUCGUAAUGCGAAGGUCGUAGGUUCGACUCCUAUCACCGGCACCA
rnacentral:tRNA from 3 species